GGUUCCAUAGUUCAACGGAUAGAAUAGAAGUUUCCUAAACUUUAGAUGUGGGUUCGAUUCCCGCUGGGACCA
rnacentral:tRNA from 1 species